UCCAGACUCCUACGGGAGGCAGCAGUGGGGAAUAUUGCACAAUGGGGGAAACCCUGAUGCAGCGACGCCGCGUGAGUGAAGAAGUAUUUCGGUAUGUAAAGCUCUCUCAGCAGGGAAGAAAUAGCGACCUUUGGGUCGCCAGACGGUACCUGAUUAAGAAGCCCCGGCUAACUACGUGCCAGCAGCCGCGGUAAUACGUAGGGGGCAAGCGUUAUCCGGAUUUACUGGGUGUAAAGGGAGCGCAGACGGCAGUGCAAGUCUGGAGUGAAAGCCCGGGGCCCAACCCCGGAACUGCUCUGGAAACUGUGCGGCUAGAGUACUGGAGGGGCAGGCGGAAUUCCUAGUGUAGCGGUGAAAUGCGUAGAUAUUAGGAGGAACACCAGUGGCGAAGGCGGCUUACUGGACUGUAACUGACGUUGAGGCUCGAAAGCGUGGGGAGCAAACAGGAUUAGAUACCCGCGUACG
rnacentral:rRNA from 1 species